UACGGAGGGUGCAAGCGUUGUUCGGAAUUAUUGGGCGUAAAGCGAGUGCAGGCGGUAAAGUAUGUCUGGUGUGAAAGCCCGGGGCUCAACUCCGGAAGUGCAUUGGAAACUGCUUUACUUGAAUCUUGGAGAGGGUAGCGGAAUUCCUGGUGUAGAGGUGAAAUUCGUAGAUAUCAGGAGGAACACCGGUGGCGAAGGCGGCUACCUGGACAAUGAUUGACGCUGAGACUCGAAAGCGUGGGGAGCAAAC
rnacentral:rRNA from 1 species